GGAUGCGUCUUGUAUAAUCCUUCCCCGCAGGAUUCGCAAGAAUAAGGUUAAAAUGCGGGUAUAAACAUGUAGCGACUCUUAUUCGAUUACCUAAGGACGCCGGUUCGAUUCCGGCCACCUCCACCA
rnacentral:tmRNA from 1 species